rnacentral:rRNA from 1 species
GACGAACGCUGGCGGCGUGCCUAAUACAUGCAAGUCGAGCGAAUCUUUAGGAGCGCAGCUCUAGAGAUUAGCGGCGGACGGGUGAGUAACACGUGGGCAACCUGCCUGUAAGACUGGGAUAACACCGGGGAACCGGUUCUAAUACCGGAUAAUUCUUUUCCUCACAUGAGGGAAAGCUGAAAGUCGGUUUUUAGCUGACACUUACAGAUGGGCCCGCGGGGCAUUAGCUAGUUGGUGAGGUGACGGCUCACCAAGGCGACGAUGCGUAGCCGACCUGAGAGGGUGGUCGGCCACACUGGGACUGAGACACGGCCCAGACUCCUACGGGAGGGAGCAGUAGGGAAUCUUCCGCAAGGGACGAAAGGCUGACGGAGCAACGCCGCGUGGGUGAUGAAGGCCUUCGGGUCGUAAAACUCUGUUGUUAGGGAAGAACAAGUAUCGGAGUAACUGCCGGUACCUUGACGGUACCUAACCAGAAAGCCACGGCUAACUACGUGCCAGCCGCCGCGGUAACAC